GACGAACGCUGGCGGCGUGCUUAACACAUGCAAGUCGAACGGUAAGGCCCUUCGGGGUACACGAGUGGCGAACGGGUGAGUAACACGUGGGUGAUCCGCCCUGCACUUCGGGAUAAGCCUGGGAAACUGGGUCUAAUACCGGAUAGGACUCCGGACUGCAUGGUCUGGGGUGGAAAGCUUUUGCGGUGUGGGAUGGGCCCGCGGCCUAUCAGCUUGUUGGUGGGGUGAUGGCCUACCAAGGCGACGACGGGUAGCCGGCCUGAGAGGGUGACCGGCCACACUGGGACGGAGAUACGGCCCAGACUCCUCCGGGAGGCAGCAGUGGGGAAUAUUGCACAAUGGGCGCAAGCCUGAUGCAGCGACGCCGCGUGAGGGAUGACGGCCUUCGGGUUGUAAACCUCUUUCAGCAUCGACGAAGCGAAAGUGACGGUAGGUGCAGAAGAAGGACCGGCCAACUACGCGCCAGCCGCCGCCGUAA
rnacentral:rRNA from 1 species